GACAGCCAGGAUGUUGGCUUAGAAGCAGCCAUCAUUUAAAGAAAGCGUAAUAGCUCACUGGUCGAGUCGGCCUGCGCGGAAGAUGUAACGGGGCUAAACCAUGCACCGAAGCUGCGGCAGCGACGCUGAUGCGUUGUUGGGUAGGGGAGCGUUCUGUAAGCCUGUGAAGGUGUGUCGUGAGGCAUGCUGGAGGUAUCAGAAGUGCGAAUGCUGACAUAAGUAACGAUAAAGCGGGUGAAAAGCCCGCUCGCCGGA
rnacentral:rRNA from 1 species